UGUCUUGUAAUUGGAAUGAUGGGAAUUUAAACCUCUUCCAGAGUAUCAAUUGGAGGGCAGUCUGGUGCCAGCAGCCGCGGUAAUUCCAGCUCCAAUAGCGUAUAUUAAAAUUGUUGCAGUUAAAAAGCUCGUAGUUGAAUUUCUGCUACAUUGCCUAUUCUCCUUUACGAGUUUGGGUCUUUUGUGGCUUAUCUGGGUUCGCUUGCGUUCCCGGUGUUUUACUUUGAGAAAAUUAGAGUGCUCAAAGCAGGCUUUUGCCUUGAAUAGUUUAGCAUGGAAUAAUAAAGUAGGACUUUGGUUCUAUUUUGUUGGUUUUAGGUACCAAAGUAAUGGUUAAUAGGAACAGUUGGGGGCAUUCGUAUUUAACUGUCAGAGGUGAAAUUCUUAGAUUUGUUAAAGACGAACUACUGCGAAAGCAUUUGCCAAGGAUGUUUUCAUUAAUCAAGAACGAAAGUUAGGGGAUCGAAGACGAUCAGAUACCGUCGUAGUCCUAACCAUAAACUAUGCCGACUAGAGAUUGGAGGUCGUCAGUUUUUACGACUCCUUCAGCACCUUGAGAGAAAUCAAAGUCUUUGGG
rnacentral:rRNA from 1 species